rnacentral:lncRNA from 1 species
UUUUCAAAGGGAAUUAGUGAAGAAAAACACCCUUUUUUGAAACCUGAAAUGCCUAGACUUUUCCAGAAAAGUAAUCCAUACGUGUGAACGAUUGCAAUCCUCCUGAAACACCGGGUUUCAGGUAGUUUUCUGUUUGCUGAAAGUCGUUUAUCUGGCUUUGCUCCUAUUUAACUUCUUUUAAAUAAAAGAUGUUUUCCAAUAUUUGCAUUCUCCAGCACUUCACACAGAAAUACAGCCUCAAAAAUGUGCAUGUGCUAAUGUUUCCCUUUCAAUUACUCCCAUAUAGAUCUGAAAGUAUUCCCUGAAAUUCUCUCUUUAUGCAUGACAGUUAUUCUGUCACUGGUACCAACUCAUGAAAAAGUGAUUUGUCUAGACUGUAGCCAUAAUACUGGGCCUGCUUCUGCUGUUGCACCGGUGAAUAAAGGACAAAGACAAAAGUAGCUGCAGGAAUUUAGAAAUGAACUGCAGUGCCCUACAGAAUCAAGAUUUUGAAUUUGAUUGAUUAAUGAGCUGUUACCACCAGCCUGGGCAUGUGUUGCCGUUCCCAGCCUGUCUGGUAGCUGCUGGGCUCUAAUCAAAACAGGAGGAAAUGUUCAUACAACCUCCGCAAAGCUGAACUGCUGAAUUUCACAGAGCCACAGGGCUGUUUAAACAGUGUGGUGACUGCUACUCAUACCUCUUACCCACAGGUGCAGACAUCACUGUUGCAGGGAUGCUUGCAGACCCAUUCCCAGGGCUGGAGUUUUUACAAAGUAUUGUAAAGUCAGCCCCUGAAGUCUAAUUCUCCUCUUGCAGGUACCGAUGUAACAUCAGAUGCAACCCUGCUUAGCCAAACCCUGAGCUGGUGGAAGGCAGUGGAGGGUCAGUGUGUAAAUGGUCCCAAGUCCUUCGCGGAAGAGGCACCGACGUUGCCUGCUGCCAGGGCAGGUUUAUUGUCUGUAUCCUGGCUGGAUAGAGGUAAAAGGAUAAGAAGUAAACAGAGAAGAACCCAGCUGAGAUGCCAGCAGUUUGAGUUUGCAAGCUUGAAAGUGAGAUAAAGAAUUCUUGUUUACAACAGCCACUGCGAAGCGUCAUUAAGCUGUGGGACUUGCCAUGACGUGACGUUUGAGGAAGCACUUCACAAAAGCUGAGGUCAGUAGAUGGGGGUUCCACUUCCCUGUAGUUUGGUUACUUCAUCUCCCUUCAUA